CUGCGGUGCAUUAGCUAGUUGGUAAGGUAACGGCUUACCAAGGCAAUGAUGCAUAGCCGAGUUGAGAGACUGAUCGGCCACAUUGGGACUGAGACACGGCCCAAACUCCUACGGGAGGCAGCAGUAGGGAAUCUUCCACAAUGGACGAAAGUCUGAUGGAGCAACGCCGCGUGAGUGAAGAAGGGUUUCGGCUCGUAAAGCUCUGUUGGUAGUGAAGAAAGAUAGAGGUAGUAACUGGCCUUUAUUUGACGGUAAUUACUUAGAAAGUCACGGCUAACUACGUGCCAGCAGCCGCGGUAAUACGUAGGUGGCAAGCGUUGUCCGGAUUUAUUGGGCGUAAAGCGAGUGCAGGCGGUUCAAUAAGUCUGAUGUGAAAGCCUUCGGCUCAACCGGAGAAUUGCAUCAGAAACUGUUGAACUUGAGUGCAGAAGAGGAGAGUGGAACUCCAUGUGUAGCGGUGGAAUGCGUAGAUAUAUGGAAGAACACCAGUGGCGAAGGCGGCUCUCUGGUCUGCAACUGACGCUGAGGCUCGAAAGCAUGGGUAGCGAACAGGAUUAGAUACCCUGGUAGUCCAUGCCGUAAACGAUGAGUGCUAAGUGUUGGGAGGUUUCCGCCUCUCAGUGCUGCAGCUAACG
rnacentral:rRNA from 1 species